GUUUAUGAUGAUAAAGUCCUCUCUACUACUACUAGCGUCCGAUGCUUCGCUGACGAUUACCGUUUGAACUUCAUCUUUCGCUCCGAUCUGAGGG
rnacentral:sRNA from 2 species